ensembl:lncRNA
GUGUCUGUCUGUAUGUAUGUGUAUGUAUGUAUGUAUGUUAUAGGCAGCCCACAGCGGAAGAGGCUGUGUACCAGGUCACCAGUGUGUGUGUGUGUGUAUGUAUGUAUGUAUGUUAUAGGCAGCCCACAGCGGAAGAGGCUGUGUACCAGGUCACCACUAGGUAUGUAAAUGAGGGAAUCGAUGUACCUUUUGAAUGGACGACAGUGGGAGAUGAUCUAGUGAUCCGGGUCUAAAAACAGACAGCUGAUCAGUAGUUAAAGAAGAGGCAGUCGGUCUGUGAGGACAGGACAGGAAAUGGGGAAAACACACACAUACACGGUUGUCACAGGACCCGUUUCCCCAACACAGAUUAAGCCUAUAAUCCCGGACUACGAGACACGUUCAAUGGAGAAGGAGGACGAAGUGGGCUUUAAUCUGUGUCCGGGAAAACGUUCCUCCUAGCAUCACAUUUCACAUGUCAACGUUAAAACAGGAAGUUGGGGUCUCUAAGUUACAGUUAGGCACAUUCUAAGCCAUAAAACAGAGGAGGGUAACCUGGUCUAAUCUAAUCCUGUCUACAUCGUUUAUUGUUCUCUCCCAUAACAUAGUAUCAUUGAGAGCUACUGGGAAUUUUGCAAUCCGAGACACUUUGGUGAGAGAGAGUACAGUUUGUGUCCUCUUGCCUCUGACUCCCGGGGUCAUUCCUCCACUUGGCCUCUAGGUGGAGCCCUCUCUCCAAACAGCACAGCUCGUCAUCGGGGAAGGAGACAGAAGGGAUCUAUAAAGGAGGUCCCUCUAUACACAACACAGAAAGACCCCUGGAGGUUAACUGGACUGUGUACGUAUGGAUGGACACGUGUGUUUGGACAUGUAUGUGUGAAUCGACGUUUACCGCAGGUGGAAAAGGUAACAAAACUAAAAAUACUUUUCUGGAAAAAAUACAUUUUCUUCUUCUUCUUUUUAUUAUUUUUAAAGUCAACAUGUUGUAUUAAAUGAAAUGCAGCGUCUGAAUAUAUUACAGGCCUAUGCCCGUGUUAUAGAGAGAGAGGUUCAUAAGCCAUACACCGGCUAGACUACGGCUCUGACAGUAUUCAGCCCGUGUUAUAGAGAGAGGUUCAUAAGCCAUACACCGGCUAGACUACGGCUCUGACAGUAUUCAGCCCGUGUUAUAGAGAGAGGUUCAUAAGCCAUACACCGGCUAGACUACGGCUCUGACAGUAUUCAUACAGAGUUUUUAAAAAGUCUGCCAUCUUUUGAGGGAUGGAGAAACGGGGAGGAAUUCAAGCAAAGCCACAUUGCAGGAUUUCACACAGUAGCAAACAGACCACGAACUCAUUGCACGGAGGACAGAGUGUCUGCAGGUUUUCGCUCCAACCCUCGUUCUUGCUGGAGGAAUUAAGGUCACUAAUUAAUUAGGAUCUCCCUUCAUCUGGUUGUCUAGGUUUUAAUUGAAUUGGGGAAAAACAAAAACAGACAGACACUCGACCCUCGGUAGAAUACAGGAGGCUGUAGCUGAAUGGACCUGGGUACUCUAGAAUACAGGAGGCUGUAGCUGAAUGGACGUGGGUACGGUAGAAUACAGGAGGCUGUAGCUGAAUGGACGUGGGUACUCUAGAAUACAGGAGGCUGUAGCUGAAUGGACGUGGGUACUGUAGAAUACAGGAGGCUGUAGCUGAAUGGACGUGGGUACUGUAGAAUACA